rnacentral:rRNA from 1 species
CCUACGGGUGGCAGCAGUGAGGAAUAUUGGUCAAUGGGCUUACGCCUGAACCAGCCAAGUCGCGUGAGGGAAGACUGCCCUAUGGGUUGUAAACCUCUUUUGUCAGGGAGCAAUUGGCGCUACGUGUAGCGUUAUCGAGCGUACCUGAAGAAAAAGCAUCGGCUAACUCCGUGCCAGCAGCCGCGGUAAUACGGAGGAUGCGAGUGGUAUCCGGAGUUAUUGGGUUUAAAGGGUGCGUAGGCGGAAUGCCAAGUCAGCGGUAAAAUCGCGGGGCUAAACCGCGCUCCGCCGUUGAAACUGGCGUUCUUGAGUGGGCGAGAAGUAUGCGGAAUUCGUGGUGUAGCGGUGAAAUGCUUAGAUAUCACGAAGAACUCCGAUUGCGAAGGCAGCUUACUAAACUGCCACUGACAUUGAUGCUCGAAAGUGUGGGUAUCAAACAGGAUUAGAUACCCUAGUAGUC